CGCACGCUGGGCCGACUGCCCGACCGUGGGCCCCUCCGCCAGUGCCGGAGUCUCGCGAGAGUUGUGAGUAAACAGCCCCGAAUGGAGAGUCGUAGCGUGUUCGCGGCGGAGGCUCCGUUAUCCCUGGCCUGCCGGCUCCGAGCCUGAGGCGGCCGAAGAUCUUGACCUGCCACGGACGGCAUGGUGGUGCUACUACCGAAGACUGCUGUCGAUCGUCGGCUUCAUUUUUAUUAAGAUGUUUACCCCGUGCCUGUAGAGCCCCUGAAAAUCUUGGUCUGCUGGUCUGUACAAAUUAAGUUAAAUAUUUACUUUUACAUUAAAUUCUAAGUGACGCUUCCAAAUGACAGGAGCAAGAAGACCUGGAGGUUGAAUUGUAGAGCCUUUCGUGGCUCUGUGCUAGUGAGCACCUCUAAUAUUUUGGGUUUCAGGUUUACAAGUGUAUAAAAAGGAGGGGCUUGCAUAAGAGCAGUUUUCUCUCCAGUUUUUUAUUGAGCUGCAGAAUCCUUUCUUAGUAUAGCUAUGUUUUCAUAUAAGAGCUUCAUUUUGGUAGAAUUUAUAUACUGCAUUAAAUGCAGAGUUGUGCAGUUAUCACCACAAUCCGCUCUUAGAAUAUUUCCAUCACCCCAAGAAGACCCCUCUGUUCACUGGCAGUCAGUACCCAUUUUCAGCCCCAUUAAUCUACUUUGUCUCCCUAGAUUUGCCAUUUCUUAGUAUUUCAUCUCUUCAAAUAAGAAGUCAUGAUAUUUGGCCUUUUGUGUCUGGCUUCUUUCACUUACAGUGUUUUCAGGGCUCACCCAAGCUGUAGCUAGCAUGUAUCAGUACUUCAUUCCUUGUUAUGACCAAAUGAUAUUUCAUUGUAUGGGUAGCCUACAUUUUAAAAAAUAAUUCAUAGAGAACUUUUUUCCCUUUGGUUUUUUGAGACAGGGUCUCGCUAUGUAGUCCAGGCCGACUUUGAACUCAUUAUGUAGCCUGGGGUGGCCCGGAGUGCUCAGCAGUCCUUCUGCCUUAGCCUCUUGAGUGCUGGGAUAACAAGCAUGUACCAUGAAGACCAACAUGCAGAACACUUCUUGCAAAUAAAAUUUUAUGCUACAGUGUGUGAUACCCAUGACAGCAGCUUUUUAUUAGGGCCUCCUAAGUCUCCACUGAGUUCCCCAAGCAACAGCAAGAAUUUGUCGUUUCUGUGUAAAAGUGGAAGUUCUCAUGCAGUGCUGGCAGGAUCUUUUUUUUUUAGUUAUCGGGGAUUGAACUCCGGUCCUUGUGCUUUCGAGGCAGGCGGCGGAACCACUGAGCUAAAUCUCCAGCCCAGAGAUAUUUUUUUUUUUUUUUUUUUUUGGUACAUGGGAUCGAACUCGGGACCUUGUGCUUGCAAGGUAAGUGGUGGAACCACGGGGCUAAAUCCCAGGCCCACGAUCUUUGACUCACAUAGGAAUGAAGGGGUGUCUAUUUUGGUCAGAUGUUUAUCAUUUCUUGCAAAUUCAUGUUCUUUGAUUGUAUUUUCUAUCAGCCCAUGACAGGUUGUUCUUGGACUGCCUUUUUAUUUGCAUGACAGCCGCCACAAGUGUCACAAAUAAUUAGAAUAACAAAAGUAGGAAGACUGAAAGCAGAAGUGAACUGCACAUUUCCCAUUAGUGUCUUUAGUGGGGCCUAAUGCCCUGUCUCCUUGCCCUUUUAGGAAUGACCACUCUAACUUUUGGAAACCUGAAAUACUAAGAACAGGAGAUUUGACCUUCCUUUUCAUGUUUGGGUGGGGGACGGAGGUUGAAGAUAGAAUGGUCUCUUUCAGUGUUUUACUUUGAGGCAGGUUGAAGUGAUUAAAAAAAGUUGAUUUCUGUUUCCUUGUGGCCUGAUCCAUUUUGAUGUGCUGCAGAAAUCCAUUAAGUAGAUUUAUUAAUUUUGACAAGGUUCUGUUUGCCUAAGGAAACUGAUUUAAGAUGUGGUAGGAUAGGAAGUUUGGUGGCGCCUACUGUGGCUGACUAGUUUUAGAUGGCAAAAGGAUAAGAGAAGACUGCUAGGAGCCCAGAGCAAAUAUGUGAAAGAAGAGGCAGUGAUACACUGUAGACAGGGUGCUCUACUGACACAUUGGGCUAAAGAAUUUUUUUUUUUUUUAAAUACAGUACUGAUGGACAGAAUGUGCCAGAAGAAAUGGUUCACUCAGGCUUAAGAAUACACCUUUAUUUUAAGAUAGUUUGUUCUGGUAUUGCUUAAUUGUUAGCCUGUUAAACAAUGGUACUACAGCCGACUAUGCAAUUAGUUACAAAAGUGGUAGUUUUUCAGGCAGCUUUUAAUUAAACUGUAUAGUACCCUUUCAUAAUCUAAAU
ensembl:lncRNA